rnacentral:lncRNA from 1 species
CUAUAGGUAUUGUGUUAGAAACCUAUUUUGGGUUUGGGUUCCAUAUGAGUUUGUUAUUGGAGACAGCCUUACUCGUCUUUCUCACGUAUCUACAUUGUGGGGUGGGCCUAAGCUGCCUUGGCAAAGAUAGGGGUAUAUGAAUGAGAAAUUGCAAGUGUAAAGACAGAUAGAUACACAAGUUCAUAUAUAUCUUGUCGCGAGGGGGCUUUUUUUUUGUCCUUGUAGAAACCUUUUUUUUUCAACUGAGAUAGUAUUGUUGUAUAUACAAGCCUUCUAGAUUAGAUCACUCGAUGCGUGGGGAGAAUAUGUAAGUAACCUAAAGUAAGAACUGAACUAAAUCAAUCAAAAGCAUAGACACAAGAGUACCAAUCCAGGUGUCACUCAAAGUAGAGCUAUAUCUGCCAAGCUACAUGGUAGAAGAUAAGUCGAUAGUUUCUGCUCCUCAUGGUGAUAAGGCUUUGCCUUGGAUGGUAUCUCAUCUCUAUUUCUUUAUUUAUACCGUUUAAAUGGCAGGGCUUGUAGCAGGGAUACUUGAAGUGCACGCACGGGUGCGCCUAUAGUCUGCGGCACAUUGGCUGGUGGUGAGGCUAGGUUGACCGACUUAGGUGAGGGACGGUGACCCUUUGUUCUACUGCCCACUGCUAUAGAAGAGGUCUUUGGACGAUUACCAAAAUCGCCAAUAGUCUCGGCAGAUUUGGUCCUCGAGAUUAAAGACUUCUUUAGUCCCGGUAAUACAGUCCGAGACUAAAGGGUCCCGCCCAACGGCUACUGCGCAGAGCUAUCGGGGCAGGACCCUUUACUCCCGGCUCGUGUUAUGGGCCGGGAGUAAAUUGGGGACUUCACCCUUUUUAGUCCCCGUUUUUACUUCAAGCUAGGACUAAAGGUGCACGAGUUAUAUCUUUCUCCCUUCUUCCUCUCCGAGACCGAGCCUAUUCAAAAUUCAGUGAGCUUAUUCCCUCUUUUCUUCCUAGCCUUUGCUUGUUCUUGCUUGUUCUUCCUUGUUCUUCAUCUCCGGCACCCAUUGGUGAUCUUCUUCGACGCCAUCAUCGUUUCCUCGGGUCUAGGGGUAACUAACUUCAUCCUCUCUCUUUUUUGACGUUAUUUUUUGUUUUUAUGAUUUCUCCUCCAUUUUAAGCUCAAAAUCAAUGGUUAUAGUUUGAAUCGACAUAGCCGGUGUCUAUUGGUGAUCUUCUUCGACUCGUCAUCGACUCUUCGUGUUUAGAGGUAACUAAGCUUCAUCCUCCCAUAUCAUUUUAAUGUUGUUUUUGUCCUUGUGAUUUCUCCACCACUUUGAGCUAAAAUUUACUUGUUAGUUUGAAUUCAUAGCUUAAAUUAGUAACCAUAUAUAUAAUAUUUCAUGGUUUGCUAUAAAUUAAAGAAUUAUAGUGUCUUUUUAAUCUUUCUUCUAUAUAUAAUUGAGAUCAUAAAAGGAAUUUAAUUAAUAGGGUUCAUCAAAUCGACUUGUUAGCUAGACUUGUUAAUUUAAGCAUGUAUAAAAAUUUUGAGCAUAGAGUUCAUCAAAUUGACUUG